GACGAACGCUGGCGGCGUGCUUAACACAUGCAAGUCGAACGAUGAAGCCUAGCUUGCUAGGUGGAUUAGUGGCGAACGGGUGAGUAAUACGUGAGUAACCUACCUUUAACUCUGGGAUAAGCCUGGGAAACUGGGUCUAAUACCGGAUACGACCAAUCUCCGCAUGGGGUGUUGGUGGAAAGCGUUAUGUAGUGGUUAUAGAUGGGCUCACGGCCUAUCAGCUUGUUGGUGAGGUAACGGCUCACCAAGGCGACGACGGGUAGCCGGCCUGAGAGGGUGACCGGCCACACUGGGACUGAGACACGGCCCAGACUCCUACGGGAGGCAGCAGUGGGGAAUAUUGCACAAUGGGCGCAAGCCUGAUGCAGCGACGCCGCGUGAGGGAUGACGGCCUUCGGGUUGUAAACCUCUGUUAGCAGGGAAGAAGAGAAAUUGACGGUACCUGCAGAGAAAGCGCCGGCUAACUACGUGCCAGCAGCCGCGGUAAUACGUAGGGCGCGAGCGUUGUCCGGAAUUAUUGGGCGUAAAGAGCUUGUAGGCGGUUUGUCGCGUCUGCUGUGAAGGCCGGGGCUUAACCCCGUGUAUUGCAGUGGGUACGGGCAGACUAGAGUGCAGUAGGGGAGACUGGAAUUCCUGGUGUAGCGGUGGAAUGCGCAGAUAUCAGGAGGAACACCGAUGGCGAAGGCAGGUCUCUGGGCUGUAACUGACGCUGAGAAGCGAAAGCAUGGGGAGCGAACAGGAUUAGAUACCCUGGUAGUCCAUGCCGUAAACGUUGGGCACUAGGUGUGGGGGACAUUCCACGUUUUCCGCGCCGUAGCUAACGCAUUAAGUGCCCCGCCUGGGGAGUACGGCCGCAAGGCUAAAACUCAAAGAAAUUGACGGGGGCCCGCACAAGCGGCGGAGCAUGCGGAUUAAUUCGAUGCAACGCGAAGAACCUUACCAAGGCUUGACAUAUACUGGACCGCAUCAGAGAUGGUGUUUCCCUUCGGGGCUGGUAUACAGGUGGUGCAUGGUUGUCGUCAGCUCGUGUCGUGAGAUGUUGGGUUAAGUCCCGCAACGAGCGCAACCCUCGUUCUAUGUUGCCAGCACGUUAUGGUGGGGACUCAUAGGAGACUGCCGGGGUCAACUCGGAGGAAGGUGGGGAUGACGUCAAAUCAUCAUGCCCCUUAUGUCUUGGGCUUCACGCAUGCUACAAUGGCCGGUACAGAGGGUUGCGAUACUGUGAGGUGGAGCUAAUCCCUAAAAGCCGGUCUCAGUUCGGAUUGGGGUCUGCAACUCGACCCCAUGAAGUCGGAGUCGCUAGUAAUCGCAGAUCAGCAACGCUGCGGUGAAUACGUUCCCGGGCCU
rnacentral:rRNA from 1 species